rnacentral:lncRNA from 1 species
GCUGUGCCCGCGGCCUAUUUUUGGCACACGGACGCGCCUCGCAAAGUCUCGCGCCAUUCCGAGUCCGGCGGACGAAGUUGGCCAGCCCCACCCCCCAAGGCUAUAGCCCACCCGUUUUUGUGGCCUUUUUCCGCUGGACGAACUUGGUGCCCCGGCCUUCGGGCGGUUAUUUUUGGGCGCGGCUGUGCCCGCGGCUUAUUUUUGGCACACGGACAUGCCUCGCAAAGUCUCGAUCCAUUCCGAGUCCGGCGGACGAAGUUGACCAGCCCCACGCCCCAAGUCUAUAGCCCACCCGUUUUUGUGUCCUCUUUCCGCUGGACGAACUUGGUGCCCCGGCCUUCGGGCGGUUAUUUUUGGCCACGGCUGUGCCCGCGUCCUAUUUUUGGCACACGGAGGCGCCUCGCAAAGUCUCGCGCCAUUCCGAGUCCGGCGGACGAAGUGGGCCAGCCCCACCCCCCAAGGCUAUAGCCCACCCGUUUUUGUGGCGUUUUUCCGCUCGACGAACUUGGCGCCCCGGCCUUAGGGCAGUUAUUUUUGGGCGCGGCUGUGCCCGCGGCCUAUUUUUGGCACACGGACGCGCCUCGUAAAGUCUCGCGCCAUUCCGAGUCCGGCGGACGAAGUUGGCCAGCCCCACCCCCCCAGGCUAUAGCCCACCCGUAUUUGUGGCCUUUUUCCGCUGGACGAACUUGGCGCCCCGGCCUUCGGGCGGUUAUUUUUGUGCGCGGCUCUGUCCGCAGCCUAUUUUUGGCCCACGGAGGCACCUCGCAAAGUCUCGCGCCAUUCCGAGUCCGGCGGACGAAGUGGGCCAGCCCCACCCCCCAAGGCUAUAGCCCACCCGUUUUUGUGGCGUUUUUCCGCUCGACGAACUUGGCGCCCCGGCCUUCGGGCGGUUGUUUUUGGGCGCGGCUGUGCCCGCGGCCUAUUUUUGGCACACGGACGCGCCUCACAAAGUCUCGCAUCAUUCCGAGUCCGGCGGACGAAGUUGGCCAGCCCCACCCCCCCAGGCUAUAGCCCACCCGUAUUUGUGGCCUUUUUCCGCUGGACGAACUUGGCGCCCCGGCCUUCGGGCAGUUAUUUUUGUGCGCGGCUCUGUCCGCGGCCUAUUUUUGGCCCACGGAGGCACCUCGCAAAGUCUCACACCAUUCCGAGUCCGGCGGACGAAGUGGGCCAGCCCCACCCCCCAAGGCUAUAGCCCACCCGUUUUUGUGGCCUUUUUCCGCUCGACGAACUUGGCGCCCCGGCCUUCGGGCGGUUAUUUUUGGGUGCGGCUGUGCCCGUGGCCUAUUUUUGGCACGUGGAGGCGCCUCGAAAGUCUCGCACCAUUUCGAGUCCGGCGGACGAAGUUGGCUAGCCCCACCCCCCAAGGCUAUAGCCCACCCGUUUUUGUGGCCUUUUUCCGCUGGCCGAACUUGGCGCCCCGACCUUCGGGCGGUUAUUUUUAUGCGCGGCUGUGCCCACGGCUUAUUUUUGGCACACGGAGGCGCCUUGCAAUGUCUCGCGCCAGUCCGAGUCCGGCGGACGAAGUUGGCCAGCCCCACCCCCCAAGGCUAUAGCCCACCCGUUUUUGUGGCCUUUUUCCGCUCGACGAACUUGGCGCCCCGGCCUUCGGGUGGUUAUUUUUGGGCGUGGCUGUGCCCGUGGCCUAUUUUUGGCACACGGAGGCACCUCACAAAGUCUCGCGCAAUUCCGAGUCCGGCGGACGAAGUUGGCCAGCCCCACCCCCCCAGGCUAUAGCCCACCCGUAUUUGUGGCCUUUUUCCGCUGGACGAACUUGGCGCCCCGGCCUUCGGGCGGUUAUUUUUGUGCGCGGCUCUGUCCGCAGCCUAUUUUUGGCCCACGGAGGCACCUCGCAAAGUCUCGCGCCAUUCCGAGUCCGGCGGACGAAGUGGGCCAGCCCCACCCCCCAAGGCUAUAGCCCACCCGUUUUUGUGGCGUUUUUCCGCUCGACGAACUUGGCGCCCCGGCCUUCGGGCGGUUGUUUUUGGGCGCGGCUGUGCCCGCGGCCUAUUUUUGGCACACGGACGCGCCUCACAAAGUCUCGCAUCAUUCCGAGUCCGGCGGACGAAGUUGGCCAGCCCCACCCCCCCAGGCUAUAGCCCACCCGUAUUUGUGGCCUUUUUCCGCUGGACGAACUUGGCGCCCCGGCCUUCGGGCAGUUAUUUUUGUGCGCGGCUCUGUCCGCGGCCUAUUUUUGGCCCACGGAGGCACCUCGCAAAGUCUCACGCCAUUCCGAGUCCGGCGGACGAAGUGGGCCAGCCCCACCCCCCAAGGCUAUAGCCCACCCGUUUUUGUGGCCUUUUUCCGCUCGACGAACUUGGCGCCCCGGCCUUCGGGCGGUUAUUUUUGGGUGCGGCUGUGCCCGCGGCCUAUUUUUGGCACACGGAGGCGCCUCGAAAGUCUCGCACCAUUUCGAGUCCGGCGGACGAAGUUGGCCAGCCCCACCUCCCAAGGCUAUAGCCCACCCGUUUUUGUGGCCUCUUUCCGCUGGUCGAACUUGGCGCCCCGACCUUCGGGCGGUUAUUUUUGUGCGCGGCUGUGCCCGUGGCCUAUUUUUUGCACGCGGAGGAGCAUCCCAAAGUCUCGCGCCAUUCCGAGUCCGGCGGACGAAGUUGGAAGGUCCCACCCCCCAAGGUUAUAGGCCACCCGUUUUUGUGGCCUUUUUCCGCUGGACGAACUUGGCGCCCCGGCCUUCGGGCGGUUAUUUUUGGAUGUGGGUGUGCCCGAGGCCUAUUUUUGGCUUACGGAGGCGCAUCGCAAAGUCUCGCGCCAUUCCGAGUCCGGCAGACGAAGUUGGCCAGCCCCACCCCCCAAGGCUAUAGCCCACCCGUUUUUGUGGCCUUUUUCCGCUGGACGAACUUGGCGCCCCGGCCUUUGGGCGGUUAUUUUUGGGCGCGGCUGUGCCCGCGACCUAUUUUUGGCACACGGAGGUGCCUCGUAAAGUCUCGCACCAUUGCGAGUCCGGCAGACGAAGUUGGCCAUCCCCACCCCCCAAGGCUAUAGCCCACCCGUAUUUGUGGCCUUUUUCCGCAGGACAAACGUGGCGCCCCGGCCUUCGGGCGGUUAUUUUUGGGCGCGGCUGUGUCCGCGGCCUAUUUUUGGCACACGGAGGCGCAUCGCAAACUCUCGCGCCAUUCCCAGUCCGGCGGACGAAGUUGGCCAGCCCCUCCCCCCAAGGCUAUAGCCCACCCGUUUUUGUGGCCUUUUCCCGCUGGACGAACUUGGCGCCCCGCCCUUCGGGCGGUUAUUUU